rnacentral:lncRNA from 1 species
UUGAAUUUCAAAUCACUUAAUUUAUUUGAGUUACAAAGAAAGAAAUAUAUGAUUUUGUUUAACAAGAUUCAUGUGCAAUUAUGUUUUAUAUUUGAUAAAAUAAAAAACCAUGCUAAGCAAACACUAGUUAGAACAACCAAGAUAUCACACUAAAGUUUUCUUAUAUCACAUUAGAGUUAGGAAAACGAAUAAGCUGAUGAAUGUUUUAUUUUAUUUUAUAUAGUUAGAAUAAUAUAACAAACCAUUAUUUCAUGAUACAUCAUAUAAUAUAACAAAAGAUUCAAUCAAGAUAACAAAAUCGUGUGGUCGUGAGAUUAUGAAGGACUUUCAACUUCAGCAGAACAUCUGUUCCAAACCUCAUUAGUUUUGAAAGAAACUUGAGAAGCAAAGCGUUUGAGUUGAUACAAUCGAAACAUGAACUUUCUAAUCUCCAUGUAGCAUUCUUUUCCAGCUCUUACUACCAU